UACGUGGGUGGCGAGCGUUGUCCGGAUUUAUUGGGUUUAAAGGGUGCGUAGGCGGCUUUGUAAGUCAGUGGUGAAAUACUCCAGCUUAACUGGAGGGGUGCCAUUGAUACUGCGGAGCUUGAGUACAGAUGAGGUAGGCGGAAUUGACGGUGUAGCGGUGAAAUGCAUAGAUAUCGUCAAGAACACCGAUAGCGAAGGCAGCUUACUGGGCUGUAACUGACGCUGAUGCACGAAAGUGUGGGGAUCAAACAGG
rnacentral:rRNA from 1 species